UCUCUCCUUCUCUAACUUUUGACUCCCUCACUCUCUCUCUAACUCACCGAGAACCACCACCCACAAGCACCACAAUUUCGACCAAAUCGAACCUCAAAACCACCAUAUUCUGAAUCACCAUGACCUAAGGAUCACAAUGGUGCCGUUGCAUAUGUGAUCAGGUGCUGGGAAGAGACUGAACUCGGGAACCCGAGAGUUCUGAGUUCACUCGUCGAGCUCCAGUGUGAAUUCUGCCCAAAAUCUCGUUAACAUGAAUCAAAUGUUCUUCAUUCCCUGUUUUCGACCAAGGAAACCAGUCUAAUUUUGUCGAGUUCAAGACUGGUGGUGCUCGAAACCAACUCGAAUCAAUCCCAGGUACUCUUUCCUCAAUCUGCAUGUGAUAGUCGAGUUGAAAAACUCAGGUAUCAACCCUGCAUGCCCUCUGUUUUGCAUUUCUAGAAUCCAGAGAACUACACCGGUCAAGCCCGAUCAAAUCUGAGGUGGAUUCGACCCCAAAUCAUCCAAAAUUGAGUUUAGGUGCUGGGAAGAUACCGAACCACCAUAUCCAGAAUCUGGGUGAGCUACACCGGUCAAGCCCUGUCAAAUCCGGGGUGGAUUUGACCUCAAAUCGUCCAAAUUUGAGUUUAGUUUUCAGUGAGUCUUCAACUGUGGCAGACGGUGGUCAAAGGUCGUCGACGUUAGGAUUAACGACAACAACGAUGGAUCCGUUAACUUUAACGAAAUCUCCCAACAAAAAAGGUAUAUUCCAUCACCUUCACUUGAGUUUUUUUACGUCCGGGCGCGUGGCCUUGAAGACGGCGAUUGUGACGUCCAAACUGCGGCAUUGAGUAUGAUGUGUCGGUGGCGCGUGCACCAUUGAUCAACCGGUGUGUGGCGGCUCGUUGCAGUGCGUGAACAACGCAUGGUGGCACGUGGUGGUGCAUGCAGGACCUGAGACCUAACCUUAGGUUUUUCAACGUUAUGAGUCACGUGGCGCCCUUCGUUCGUGCAAAUUCAAUUUCUAGAUAGCAAUUUUAGGUGUUGAAUUAACGAAAUGAUAUAAAGGUGCUUAUAUAAGCUAAGUUAUACAUUCAUAGGUACAAGUUCAGUUAAAUUGGACAAACGCAAGGAGCCUAACAAGGAAACACGCUCAGACUACCUAUGAGUGGAUAUCCUUCAAAAACUAUGUUUUGGUUAAACUAUUUUUGAUAAAUGAAUGAUUUGAGUCAGUCUUGAGGAGACCUAAGUAGAUAUGAAUAACGUUGAUGUUGUAGUUAAAUUAAUGACUUUGGUGAUUUAUUUUCACCGUAUGGUCAUCAUGCACUUUGUAUAGCUAGCUACAGCUGUGGGAUUAUUUGCAGGCGUCGAUAUUUCUAGUAGAGGCUAGCUACUGUUCAGGUAGAUGCCAUUUCACUUGCUUGCUAUACUGUACUAGGAACUGCUAGUUUUUGUGAUUGAUUUCAGGUAUGAUCUUUGACUUGUCUUGGUAUCAUUUGAUUGAUGAUCUGAUAUGAAUUUGAUUGAAUUGGAUUAUGGUGUUAUUUGACUAUAUACUAUAGUAGAUGCUGUUAUGUAGUUUUGAAUUAUAUAUGAUUUACAAAAUGAUGAUUGGUACAUUUGAAAAGAUUUUAACUAGAUAAAUGACUAUGAUCCACUCACACCUUGUUUUUUGACCCCUCAGGACAUAGUGAAAGCAAGGAGGCUUUUGGGAGAGACGAGUGGGCUUGGCAGUGAGGCUAUUCACCUGAGGACUAGGGUGAUCUCACUUCUACUUUAUCUAGUUUUGCAUUAUCGUACUUGGAUUAUGCAUAGCACUACACUCAAAUUUGUGUUAACUGUUGUAUAUACUGUUGUGAGCUCUGAACUCGAUGUGGUAAUAAUGGGAGUGUAUUCCCUGGUUGUGUCCCCAAGUGGGGUGGUUGUGUAGGAUUUGCAGGAUAGUUUGAAUUAAUUAAUAAAAGAGCCUCGUUGGUUCAAAUUUGUUCACA